rnacentral:rRNA from 1 species
AUUGAACGCUGGCGGCAGGCCUAACACAUGCAAGUCGAACGGUAACAGGAAGACGCUUGCUUCUUUGCUGACGCGUGGCUUCCGGGUGAGUAAUGUCUGGGAAACUGCCUGAUGGAGGGGGAUAACUACUGGAAACGGUAGCUAAUACCGCAUAACGUCGCACGACCAAAGAGGGGGACCUUCGGGCCUCUUGCCAUCGGAUGUGCCCAGAUGGGAUUAGCUAGUAGGGGGGUUAACGGGCUACCCAGGGGACGAACUCCAGCUGGUCUGAGAGGGUGCCCAGCCACCCUGGAACAGAGGCACGGUCCAGACUCCUACGGGAGGCAGCAGUGGGAAAUAUUGCACGAUGGGCGCAAGCCUGAUGCAGCCAUGCCGAGUGUAUGAAGAAGGACUGCGGGUUGUAAAGUACUGUCAGCGGGGAGGAAGGGAGUAAAGAUAAGACCUUUGCUCAUUGACGUUACCCGCAGAAGAAGCACCGGCUAACUCCGUG